UAGCUACCUAUUCUUGCUUCAAGCCAGAU
rnacentral:piRNA from 1 species